UGGGAAUCCAGGUCGCCUAACUCCCAGGCAAAAGCUCUUUCUAGUAGAGUGUUUAGGACCAAGAAUAUGAAUAUGGAGGGGCGCCUGUCUGGCUCAGUCAUUAGAGCAUUCCAUUCUUGAUCUUGGGGUUGUAAAUUCGAGCUCCGUGUUGGGUGUAGAGAUUGCUUAAAAAUAAAAAUCUUAAAAAAAAAAAAAAAAGGAAUAUGAAUAUGGAGAAGCUACUCCACAAAUAACUUUGGGAAUUUAGAGUGGACUUUUCUUAGGCUUCCAGCUCAAAGAAGCCACUUAUCUGCCCCACUGUGAGUAAGCUGGCACUUAGUAGAUAAUCUCUAGGUCAAAGAUGGUGUGAAGGUGGUGCAACCAGCAUUCUAGGGGCAGAUUCUUAUCGGGACCAAACAGGUAUAUAAAUAAAUGCAGCACACCAGAUCUUCCAAAUUUUCAAGACAAGCCCAAACUCCAGGUAUUUAGGUGAAUUUUCCCACUUUUUAAAAUGUUGGUAACAUUCAGAAAUUCUAAAAAUGCCAUGUAGACUAAAGGGGACACACUUGUAGACUGGAUUUGCUCUGCUGGCUCUUCUUUGUGGAGGAGAGAGCCCUGGACAGGGAGUUAGAACAGCAGGCUGGUUCCUGGCAGCUGCUAGCUGGCUGAGGGGCCUUGAGAACCACUUUCUUUCACUGGGUUUGGGAGGGAAUUGGGGUCCUCUAUGCGACAAAGGGUGGGCUGCAUCAGCAGGACCCUGCAGCCCUUCCCAUCUGAUUCUCCUGUGAUGCGUGUUUGGCGACUGUCAUUUCCUUAGACUGGACUUAGGUCAUGGGAAAAGUGUCCAAAUGACCAGGAAGAGGCAGGAAUGGGGCCCAAGGAAAUGGAUCAUGACACCCCCGCUAAAGACAAAGUUCAACUCUGCUGCUGUCUGGCUCCAGCACUCCAAUAAGCAAAGAGUCAAGACCUGCUAAGCUGGUUGGAACAGGACUUCAUGGUGUAACGCAUGAGAGACGACUCAAUGCCAAAGACUGAGGUUACAGCAGGGUGUUUACAGCAGUGGCCAUACUCCAGAGUCCUUGACAACAGGUCUUGAGUCCCAAAGCUCUGAUGGAGAAGCAAAACUCCUUGAUGUGUUACUGACCCCACCGAUUCCAGGGGUCAGGAUUAGCCAGGGAGCCAAACAUCGAGAGUGGGUGUGGCAUGUCACCAGUCCAGAGGCCCUGCCGUGGAUAUAGGCUGGGACCCAGCAUUAGGCAAUCAACAGCCAGAACAUGAUCACCAGGGCCACAAACAGGAAGAGGCGUGAUAGGAACUGCUCAUCCACAUACUGGGGUGUUCCAGGGACAGCUGGGAGAAAGGAGGGAGAAAAGAGGCUGUCAGAACACUGCAGCUGUGAGCACUGCCUGUCUGGGCCAGAAUUGAGAACAUCAAUCUUCAUCUCUUUAGAACAGAACUCUGCACACUAAAAAGAUUUCCAAACCCCAAAUAACAUCAGGCAAAACAAAACUUGAAUUAUGAAGAUAUGUGGAAUAAUAUAACAAUGAGGACAAGGUCUCCAAUUUAUCCUAAGAGAGUCUGGUCUGCAGAUGUACAUAAAACAGGAAGCUCUUAGAGGAAACAAUAAAAGAAAAGCUGCUGUUAA